rnacentral:lncRNA from 7 species
AGGGUGCAGUAAGAGGGAUGGGACUGUGAGGCUGCUGCUGAACCACCAUCUUCUCCAGACCAGAAUAGGUUCUAGGGUUGAGGACUGAGAGAGGCAGGGAAAAGUGCUUCGGGAUGACCUCCUUGUUGCAUGAGAUUUCCUUCUUUCACUGGUGCUCUUGGGGGUUCUUUUGUGGAUUUCACAUUGCAGACAACCUAAGAACAAACUGCAGAAGUGUGCUCCUUCUUUGAAGACUGCCACAGGUGGAGAUGGAGACCUCAGAGCAUGAGAGACUCUCCAGAUGUGUAAGGUGGCAGUAUCAUGGAGUCUCCCAGAUCAGCCACAAAAUGACAUUACUUUUUCUAAUGGGUUGCUCAGAGUCAGCCCAACCCACAGCAAAAGCCAGAGAUCUGUUGUGAGCAGGCCAGCCUGACCUCUAUGUCGGAACAAGCUACCACAGCUCAACAGGUGUGACAUCCCUCCUCAAGCUGUGGGACCACAUGCCUGAACCCCACAGACCCUUUUGUCACCUUCUGAACUCUAUUUGUGAACAGUGUGAAAAGCCUGCGGCAGUAGUGUUUAGAAAAACCACACCACUCUCUAACUUUCUGUGCUGGUGAUCUACAUGGAGGCAGAACUCAAAUUCUGGCUUGGUUUUGGUGAAGAAUAUACUUUAAUUAAUUAACAUUUGUUCCUCUCCUCAAAUAAUUCUACUCCCAGCUCUCACACAUCUAGUAACAGGGAGUACCCAUCCCAGAAAUUAUAAAGCUGCUUGCCAACUCCAGGAAAAUCAGUGUGAAAUCAACAAUAUGAAGCCCUGUGGAUUGUGCUCCUGCAAUGGACCAUUUCCUCUGUGCUGGCCGUUCAGAUGCAAGAUCGCACGAGCUAAUUUAGAUAAGAAAGAACUUUACAGCAUUUCUCUUGGCCAAAUGUUGUCAUGUUUAAAGUGAAUUGAUAAGUAUGGAGAUGAUCGAGAGCUCUACCUAGAGCUGUAUUUCUUCUUAUGAAUUUCAAAGCCAUAAAGUUCUUCUUACACU